AGUGGCGAACGGGUGAGUAAUAUAUCGGAACGUGCCCAGUCGUGGGGGAUAACGUAGUGAAAAUUACGCUAAUACCGCAUACGAUCUAUGGAUGAAAGCGGGGGAUCGCAAGACCUCGCGCGAUUGGAGCGGCCGAUAUCAGAUUAGGUAGUUGGUGAGGUAAAGGCUCACCAAGCCAACGAUCUGUAGCUGGUCUGAGAGGACGACCAGCCACACUGGAACUGAGACACGGUCCAGACUCCUACGGGAGGCAGCAGUGGGGAAUUUUGGACAAUGGGGGAAACCCUGAUCCAGCCAUUCCGCGUGUGCGAUGAAGGCCUUCGGGUUGUAAAGCACUUUUGGCAGGAAAGAAAUCGCACGAAUUAAUACUUUGUGUGGAUGACGGUACCUGCAGAAUAAGCACCGGCUAACUACGUGCCAGCAGCCGCGGUAAUACGUAGGGUGCGAGCGUUAAUCGGAAUUACUGGGCGUAAAGCGUGCGCAGGCGGUUAUAUAAGACAGAUGUGAAAUCCCCGGGCUCAACCUGGGAACUGCAUUUGUGACUGUAUAGCUGGAGUGCGGCAGAGGGGGAUGGAAUUCCGCGUGUAGCAGUGAAAUGCGUAGAUAUGCGGAGGAACACCGAUGGCGAAGGCAAUCCCCUGGGCCUGCACUGACGCUCAUGCACGAAAGCGUGGGGAGCAAACAGGAUUAGAUACCCUGGUAGUCCACGCCCUAAACGAUGUCAACUAGCUGUUGGGGGCUUCGGCCCUUAGUAGCGCAGCUAACGCGUGAAGUUGACCGCCUGGGGAGUACGGUCGCAAGAUUAAAACUCAAAGGAAUUGACGGGGACCCGCACAAGCGGUGGAUGAUGUGG
rnacentral:rRNA from 1 species